rnacentral:rRNA from 1 species
GUCCACGCCGUAAACGAUGUUAACUAGCUGUUCGGGUAUGAAAUAUACCGGAGUGGCGCAGCAAACGCGAUAAGUUAACCGCCUGGGGAGUACGGUAGCAAGAUUAAAACUCAAAGGAAUUGACGGGGGCCCGCACAAGCGGUGGAGCAUGUGGUUUAAUUCGAUGCAACGCGAAGAACCUUACCUGCCCUUGACAUACCAAGAAUCCUGUAGAGAUAUAGGAGUGCCGAAAGGAGCUUGGAUACAGGUGCUGCAUGGCUGUCGU